rnacentral:siRNA from 1 species
AUCGCAACAGUGUUGUAACAGUAU